rnacentral:rRNA from 1 species
GUGGGGAAUAUUCCGCAAUGGACGAAAGUCUGACGGAGCAACGCCGCGUGAGUGAUGAAGGUUUUCGGACUGUAAAGCUCUGUUGUUUAGGACGAAAGUGCCUGUUGCAAAUAGUUACAGGUAUUGACGGUACUGAACGAGGAAGCCACGGCUAACUACGUGCCAGCAGCCGCGGUAAUACGUAGGUGGCAAGCGUUGUCCGGAAUUAUUGGGCGUAAAGAGCAUGUAGGCGGGAAUCUAAGUCUGUUGUGAAAAUGCGGGGCUCAACCCCGUAUUGCGAUGGAAACUGGGUUUCUUGAGUGCAGGAGAGGAAAGGGGAAUUCCCAGUGUAGCGGUGAAAUGCGUAGAUAUUGGGAGGAACACCAGUGGCGAAGGCGACUUUCUGGACUGUACCUGACGCUGAGGCGCGAAAGCGUGGGGAGCGAACGGGAUUAGAAACCCGGGUAGUCC